rnacentral:rRNA from 1 species
UACGUAGGGACCAAGCGUUGUUCGGAUUUACUGGGCGUAAAGGGCGCGUAGGCGGCGUGUUAAGUCACUUGUGAAAUCUCUAAGCUUAACUUAGAACGGUCAAGUGAUACUGAUGUGCUAGAGUGCAGAAGGGGCAACCGGAAUUCUUGGUGUAGCGGUGAAAUGCGUAGAUAUCAAGAGGAACACCUGAGGUGAAGACGGGUUGCUGGGCUGACACUGACGCUGAGGCGCGAAAGCGUGGGUAGCAAACAGG